rnacentral:rRNA from 1 species
GCUAGUAAUCGCGGAUCAGAAUGCCGCGGUGAAUACGUUCCCGGGUCUUGUACACACCGCCCGUCACACCAUGGGAGUCGGAAAUGCCCGAAGCCGGUGACUCAACCCUUAAGGAGAGAGCCGUCGAAGGCAGGUCUGAUAACUGGGGUGAAGUCGUAACAAGGUAGC